rnacentral:piRNA from 1 species
UAACUAAGAGAGGCUUGUUUAAGGGAAG